rnacentral:tRNA from 1 species
UCCCUGGCAGUCCAGUGAUUAGGACUGCACCUUCCAAUGCAGGAAAUCUGGGUUUGAUUCCUAGCCAGGGAG